rnacentral:rRNA from 1 species
CCUACGGAUGGCUGCAGUGGGGAAUAUUGGACAAUGGGGGGAACCCUGAUCCAGCCAUGCCGCGUGUGUGAAGAAGGCCCUCGGGUUGUAAAGCACUUUCAGUGAGGAAGAACGCCUGGUGGUUAAUACCCAUCAGGAAAGACAUCACUCACAGAAGAAGCACCGGCUAACUCCGUGCCAGCAGCCGCGGUAAUACGGAGGGUGCGAGCGUUAAUCGGAAUUACUGGGCGUAAAGCGCGCGUAGGUGGCUUGAUAAGCCGGUUGUGAAAGCCCCGGGCUCAACCUGGGAACGGCAUCCGGAACUGUCAAGCUAGAGUGCAGGAGAGGAAGGUAGAAUUCCCGGUGUAGCGGUGAAAUGCGUAGAGAUCGGGAGGAAUACCAGUGGCGAAGGCGGCCUUCUGGACUGACACUGACACUGAGGUGCGAAAGCGUGGGUAGCAAACAGGAUUAGAUACCCGGGUAGUC